UACGUAGGGUGCAAGCGUUAAUCGGAAUUACUGGGCGUAAAGCGUGCGCAGGCGGUUUCUGAAGUCCGUUGUGAAAGCCCCGGGCUUAACCUGGGAAUGGCAGUGGAAACUAGGAGACUUGAAUCUGGCAGAGGGGGUGGAAUGCCACGUGUAGCAGUGAAAUGCGUAGAGAUGUGGCGGAACACCGAUGGCGAAGGCAGCCCCCUGGGUCAAGAUUGACGCUCGAUGCACGAAAGCGUGGGAGCAAACAGG
rnacentral:rRNA from 1 species